rnacentral:lncRNA from 1 species
GCAGCGCCGACGCGGCGCAACACCGGAGCGGCGGCGGCAGCUGCUGCUGCUGGGAACGCGCGAGGGUGGCAGUGGCCGCGCGGCGCCGGCGAAGCCAACGCGGAGGAAGCCAUCUGGGCCGGCGGUCUCGUCUCCACAUCUAGAUCCUACAAAAACAAAAAUUCCUCUAGUAGAACCGCGUAGAUCCAGGCGCCGCCAGCCAGCCCGCACGGCCGUGGGCUCCGAUGGAUUCGGGCACGACAGGGAAAAGGGGGGGCGCUCCGGAUCCGGCGGACCUUGAAGUCGGAGUUGAUGUUUACGGGGCGGGAGGCGGCCGGAGCAGGGGGCGGCGGCGAGAAGGAGGGCGCCGCGGCGGUGGCGGCGGGACGGCGGCGAGGGAGGAGGGGUGUUCGAUCUGGGAGGAGGGAGAUGGGCUAGGGUUCGCU